rnacentral:rRNA from 1 species
GAGAUUACGAAAGGGCGUAUGGAGGAUGCCUAGGCUCUUAACAAAGAAGAAGGACGUGAUAAGCUGCGAAAAGCUACGGGGAUUAGCACAUAUGAAUCGAUCCGUAGAUAUCCGAAUGGGGCAACCUAUCAUUUAGAUAUGAUAUCCGUAAGGAGUAUUACCUGUUGAACUGAAACAUCUAAGUAAACAGAGGAAGAGAAAACAAAAGUGAUUCUGCUAGUAGCGGCGAGCGAACGUGGAACAGCCCAAACCAAUAUUGUUACGGCAAUAUUGGGGUUGUAGGACUACUUAAGAUAAAUAAUUACGAAUUAGAAUAAGUUGGAAAGCUUAACCGUAGUGUGUGAUAGUCACGUAUAAGGAACUAAUUAUUUUAGGAGUAGAAUCCUGAGUAGUGCGGGGCACGAGAAACCUUGCAUGAAUCAGCCGGGACCAUCCGGUAAGGCUAAAUACAGUUAAGAGACCGAUAGUGAACCAGUACCGUGAGGGAAAGGUGAAAAGUACCGUGAACAACGGAGUGAAAUAGUACCUGAAACCAUACGCUUACAAGCGGUCGGAGUCACGCCAUUGGCGUGAUGACGGCGUGCCUUUUGCAUAAUGAGCCUACGAGUUAUUGAUAUUGGCAAGAAUAAUCCGCAUGAGCGGAGUAUUCGUAGCGAAAGCGAGUUUUAAAAGGGCGUUAGUCAUUAUCAAUAGACGCGAACCCGAGUGAUCUAUCCUUGGGCAGGUUGAAGCUGUGGUAACACAUAGUGGAGGACCGCACCCAUUAACGUUGAAAAGUUUUGGGAUGACCUGAGGAUGGGGGUGAAAGGCCAAUCAAACUCGGAAAUAGCUCGUACUCUCCGAAAUGCAUUUAGGUGCAGCGAUUUAUUAGUUUUAUAGAGGUAGAGCUACUGAUUGGAUGCGGGGGCUUCACCGCCUACCAAUUCCUGACAAACUCCGAAUGCUAUAAAAUGAUGUAAAUCAGUGAGGGCAUGGGUGCUAAGGUCCAUGUCCGAGAGGGAAACAACCCAGACCAUCAGCUAAGGUCCCAAAAUAUAUGCUAAGUUGACCAAACGCGGUUCGACUGCUUAGACAGCUAGGAUGUUGGCUUGGAAGCAGCCAUUCAUUUAAAGAGUGCGUAACAGCUCACUAGUCGAGCGGUUGAGCAUGGAUAAUAAUCGGGCAUAAGCAUAUUACCGAAGCUAUGGUAUUACGUCUUUGGCGUGAUAGUUAGGAGAGCAUUCUGAUGGCGUUGAAGGUUUUCUGUCAGGGAGACUGGAGCAGUCAGAAAAGCAAAUGUAGGCAUAAGUAACGAUAAUGCCGCUGAGAAAGCGGCACACCGAAAGACCAAGGAUUCCUCAGCUAUGCUAAUCAGCUGAGGGGUAGUCGGGACCUAAGGCGAACCCGGAAGGGGUAGUCGAUGGAAAAGCAGUUAAUAUUCUGCUACCUGUCCAUAUUCAAGUGACGGAAAUUACAAUAAGGUGCGUACAGACGGAAUUGUACGUUGAAUCCCGAGAAAUCGGGAGAUAGUACACCAAAGCUACGGUGGCGGUGAUAAUCCUUAGAAGAAUUUCCCUAGAAAAGCGAAUGAGACAGCCCGUACCAUAAACCGACACAGGUAGUUGGGAUGAGAAUUCUAAGGUGCUCGAGCGAUUCAUGGCUAAGGAACUAGGCAAAAUAGACCCGUAACUUCGGGAGAAGGGUUUCACGCCUUGCGGCGUGACGCAGUGAAGAGGUCCAAACGACUGUUUAUCAAAAACACAGGGCUCUGCAAAAUCGAAAGAUGCAGUAUAGGGCCUGAUACCUGCCCGGUGCCGGAAGGUUAAGAGGAGGUGUUAUCUUCGGAGAAGCGCUGAAUUGAAGCCCCGGUAAACGGCGGCCGUAACUAUAACGGUCCUAAGGUAGCGAAAUUCCUUGUCGGGUAAGUUCCGACCUGCACGAAUGGUGCAACGAUUUGGACACUGUCUCAGCCAUGAUCUCGGUGAAAUUGAAGUAUCGGUGAAGAUGCCGAUUACCCGCUGUGGGACGAAAAGACCCCGUGAACCUUUACUAUAGUUUAGUAUUGUCUUUAGAUAAGUGAUGUGUAGGAUAGGUGGGAGACAUUGAUUGGUUAUCGCCAGGUAAUCAGGAGUCGCCCUUGAAAUACCACCCUUUACUUGUUUGAAGGCUAAUCACGCCCUGGGCGUGAGACAUUACUUGAUGGGUAGUUUGACUGGGGUGGUCGCCUCCAAAAGAGUAACGGAGGCUUCUAAAGGUUCCCUCAGCACGCUUGGUAACCGUGCGUAGAGUGUAAUGGCAUAAGGGAGCUUGACUGAGAGACCUACAAGUCGAUCAGGUACGAAAGUAGAGCAUAGUGAUCCGGUGGUUCCGUAUGGAAGGGCCAUCGCUCAAAGGAUAAAAGGUACUCCGGGGAUAACAGGCUGAUCUCCCCCAAGAGCUCACAUCGACGGGGGGGUUUGGCACCUCGAUGUCGGCUCGUCACAUCCUGGGGCUGGAGAAGGUCCCAAGGGUUGGGCUGUUCGCCCAUUAAAGUGGCACGCGAGCUGGGUUCAGAACGUCG